rnacentral:rRNA from 1 species
UACGGGGGGGGGCAAGCGUUGUUCGGAAUUACUGGGCGUAAAGGGCUCGUAGGCGGCCAACUAAGUCCGACGUGAAAUCCCCAAGCUUAACUUGGGAACUGCGUCGGAUACUGGAUGGCUUGAAUUCGGGAGAGGGAUGCAGAAUUCCAGGUGUAGCGGUGAAAUGCGUAGAUAUCUGGAGGAACACCGGUGGCGAAGGCGGCAUCCUGGACCGAGAUUGACGCUGAUGCGCGAAAGCCAGGGGAGCAAACGGG